GACGAACGCUGGCGGCGUGCUUAACACAUGCAAGUCGAACGGAAAGGCCCUGCUUUUGUGUGGUGCUCGAGUGGCGAACGGGUGUGUAACACGUGAGUAACCUUCCCUUGACUUUGGGAUAACUUCAGGAAACUGGGGCUAAUACCUGAUAGGAGCUCCUGCUGCAUGGUGGGGGUUGGAAAGUUUCGGCGGUUGGGGAUGUACUCGCGGCUUAUCAGCUUGUUGGUGGGGUAGUGGCUUACCAAGGCUUUGACGGGUAGCCGGCCUGAGAGGGUGACUGGCCACAUUGGGACUGAGAUACGGCCCAGACUCCUACGGGAGGCAGCAGUGGGGAAUAUUGCACAAUGGGCGGAAGCCUGAUGCAGCAACGCCGCGUGCGGGAUGAAGGCCUUCGGGUUGUAAACCGCUUUCGGCUGUGACGAAGCGCGAGUGACGGUAAUGGGUAAAGAAGCACCGGCUAACUACGUG
rnacentral:rRNA from 1 species